GGAUUAGAUACCCUGGUAGUCCACGCCGUAAACGAUGAUAACUAGCUGUUCGGGUUCAUAGAACUUGAGUGGCGCAGCUAACGCAUUAAGUUAUCCGCCUGGGGAGUACGGUCGCAAGAUUAAAACUCAAAGGAAUUGACGGGGGCCUGCACAAGCGGUGGAGCAUGUGGUUUAAUUCGAAGCAACGCGCAGAACCUUACCAGCGUUUGACAUCCUUGUCGCGGAUUUCAGAGAUGAUUUCCUUCAGUUCGGCUGGACAAGUGACAGGUGCUGCAUGGCUGUCGUCAGCUCGUGCCG
rnacentral:rRNA from 1 species